ACGGAACGGAUGACUAGCUGGCUAUUGGAAAAAAAAAAAAGAAAACUGACUAAUUGUAAAGCUCUACAUAGUUACACACAAAAGUUGUACUUAUAAAAUUAUUAAGUUGUGAACCUAAAUAAUAAAUUAAAAUUUGUACACUUAAUAAAAGUAAUUAAUUUUGAUUUAAGCAACUAAGCAUAUUUUCUCAAAUUAAGUUCUAAACUUACUAUUUAUUAGUUACUAUUUAAUGGAUGCAAACUAUCUUCAUCUUAUUAAUUAUUCAAGCCAAGCAUUAUUUAUUUAGCUAAAAAUUUAUGUAACCUAAGUUGACCACCUAAUUAACAAAUCAAAAAUAGAUUUAUUACAAUUUUUUAAAUAAUUACAGCUUUUUUUUUUAAUUUUAAUGCAUGGGUAUGGCUGCCCUUAGUUAAAAGCCUAAAAAUAAUUAUAUGUAGUAACAAGUAAGUGUAACAACAAAUAAAUAUAUCUAUGCUCUUAAUUAUCCGCUUAAAAAUUACUUAUUAUUAUUUAUGUAUACUUAAUAAAGAUUAAGAAGAUAGCUAAAAUUAGAAGGAAAAAACUCACCUUUUAUAAGUAUGCUCUAGAGAAUUAAAGGAUUCAAGCCUUGGGUUGUGAUAUAAUGCAGAAAAUUUAAGGGAAAAUUGAUAUUUUGAGAGCAAGGAGAUGAGCUUGGGACGUUUAGAGACUUAGAGAGAAACUAUGAAAGACUAAAGAAGAUAGGACUUGAGGGGAGAGGCCAAAAUUG
rnacentral:misc_RNA from 1 species